UUUCUCCUCGGAUGAACAAAUUAUUUGAAACAUGCCGAGUCAUUUUUUAUUUUCUAUAAGUGUAACCCGGGGUGAAAAAACUGCCCUUAGUCCCGCCUUGGUGCCCCAUUGGUUAAGAGUGACAGUCAGUCACACAGUGCAUGCAGCCAAUUGUCACACCUGAUGUAAUUAUUUAGGCUCCAGCUUUCCCCAGUCAGGUGUGAGGGGGAGAGCUGGAGACAAAGGAGCUACAGAUCUGAAAAGAUCCAGUGAGUUUGGAGCCCUGAAGCUGCCAUUCUCUCUACUGUUAAUGGAAUUGGUCAUCUGUCGGGCCUCGCCAGAGUGGAACGUAGCUGGCAGAAAGAGACCAGACCUCUGAAGUUCACAUCUUGCUUUUGAGAAGUGGAGAAAUCAUUAAGACGAGUCCUGAGAGUGGCUGGCAGGUACAGCGGGGCGGCGCCGCCGUCCGUCUCACUUUGACCUGUGGCUUUCCACACCCCUCUGGGGAACAGAGGAGAUUUGGCCCCUUUAUCAGAUUUAUAAUGUCCUCUCAUCUCCACAGCUGGUUUUAACUGGAGGAAAUCGAAGCCCUGAGGAGGUUUUUAAGUAUUUAAGUUGAGUUUGUAACCAACAGAAUUACAGAUUCUUGGUCUUUUUAAAUGUUUUGCUGUAAAGGAAACUCAAAGUCUUCUGCUGCCGGUUUGUGCAGCCGGCUGAGAACAGAAGCAGAUCCCGUUGCUCACCUGUUUCACCUGGGUUGUGCUAACGUAGCAGUUAGCCUACAGAAUGCUAAAAUUGUCCUGCUGGUGAAAAUUGAGCUUUUCCACUGCUGGACCGCAUUUCCAAAUUACUGUCAUUAGGGAAAUGAUAUCAGUUUUUCUGGUGUUUUGUUCUCAUCCACCUGCAUUAACACCAGUGUUCAGCAUGAGCACAGUAGCGCCCCCUCUCGGCGGUUCAGGGACUUGCUCCUGGUCAUUCUUUGAUUUGUUUGGUUGUCAGACAAAAAAUAUGUUUCAUCCGUUGUCUACAUGUUCUGAAUCACUUUAGAUGAACUGGAUCUGUUUCCCUGGUUGUUCUUCAGAAAUUGUCAAUCAGGAAUGAUUUGUCCAAAGCAGAGAAAGGAAAUCUGGGCCUGAUGGGUUCAGGUUUAUUAUUACAGAAAAGUCUGGAUACUAUUUAUCUGAAACAGCCAUAAACUUAAACGAUCCAAAGUUUUGGAAACUGGUCAAUUCUGCGUAUGACUCAAAAACAUAUUUUUCUAGCUUCAUCAUCAAAAACCAAAGAAAUAUGACUGAUAAAUCUGAGAUGUUAAGUCAUUUAAAUGAACAUUUAGUUGCUUCUGGCUCCUUUUUGACUCUGAUCUGAAACCUGAAUCGGUGAUGCGUCAAACUGUCGUUCUGUUGGGGAAACAUUUCACAGGCUGUUGUGUCCUCAGUAUUUAAACAACUGAAAUGUAUUAAAAUACAUUUUUUAAAUGUAUUUUAAUACAUUUAAAUGUAUGGUCCAGAAAUACAAUCCCCAGAAUCUGGAAAUCUGCUUUUGCUCUUUUACUUAAAAAAAUGUUGAUAAAUCAACUUAUUUCUGUGUUUUGCUUUUUGGCCAAAAGGUUUUUAAAAGUUGG